rnacentral:sRNA from 1 species
AUUGACAGAAGAGAGGAUGAUUUA